rnacentral:tRNA from 1 species
GGAGGCGACCGAGCGCCUGGUGGGCUCCGCGGUCUUCAAAACCGUUGGGGGGCCGAAACGUCCCCGGCGGGUUCGAUUCCCGUCCGCCUCCGCCA